GAUGAAGAACGUAGCGAAAUGCGAUAAGUAGUGUGAAUUGCAGAAUUCAGUGAAUCAUCGAAUCUUUGAACGCACAUUGCGCCUCCUGGUAUUCCGGGAGGCAUGCCUGUUCGAGCGUCAUUAAAAUCACUCAAGCUUAGGUUUACCUAUUGCUUGGUCUUGGAGAUGGAAGCCAAUUUAUUAGAAUCCUCUUCGAAAUUCAAUGGCGAAGACCCUUGCUCUCCCAAGUGUAGUAAUAACUUAUGUCACUGAAGGAAGCGAGAAAUCUUCUGCCGUAACCCACAUAUUUUCUAUGAUUGACCUCGGAUCAGGUAGGGAUACCCGCUGAACUUAAGCAUAUCAAUAAGCGGAGGA
rnacentral:misc_RNA from 1 species